rnacentral:misc_RNA from 1 species
GAUGAAGAACGCAGCGAAAUGCGAUAAGUAAUGUGAAUUGCAGAAUUCAGUGAAUCAUCGAAUCUUUGAACGCACAUUGCGCCCGCCAGUAUUCUGGCGGGCAUGCCUGUCUGAGCGUCAUUUCAACCCUCAAGCCCCCGGGCUUGGUGUUGGGGAUCGGCGAGCCUCCGCGCCCGCCGUCCCCUAAAUCUAGUGGCGGUCUCGCUGUAGCUUCCUCUGCGUAGUAGCACACCUCGCACUGGGAAACAGCGCGGCCACGCCGUUAAACCCCCAACUUCUGAACGUUUGACCUCGGAUCAGGUAGGAAUACCCGCUGAACUUAAGCAUAUCAAUAAGCGGAGGA